rnacentral:sRNA from 1 species
AUCACGGCUUCGUCAGAUGCGCCGCAUUUUCGCCCCGAACGCGCCCAGCCAUGGCCGUGUUGCCCCGCUCAACUCCUGAUCGUUGCCUCGACGGCCCGGCUUUGCUGGUCUCCGGAUUUGUCAGCCCCCCAGCCCCCCGGAGUCUUGGCGGGCCGGGCCAAUCGAUGUCGAGGCUACCUUACGGCCGGCGCCCGCGCUGGCCGUUUU